GAACUGAAGAGUUUGAUCAUGGCUCAGAUUGAACGCUGGCGGCAGGCCUAACACAUGCAAGUCGAGCGGUAGAGAGAAGCUUGCUUCUCUUGAGAGCGGCGGACGGGUGAGUAAUGCCUAGGAAUCUGCCUGGUAGUGGGGGAUAACGUUCGGAAACGGACGCUAAUACCGCAUACGUCCUACGGGAGAAAGCAGGGGACCUUCGGGCCU
rnacentral:rRNA from 1 species